rnacentral:rRNA from 1 species
GACGAACGCUGGCGGCGCGCCUAACACAUGCAAGUCGAACGAGAGAUGAGGAGCUUGCUCUUCAGAUCGAGUGGCGAACGGGUGAGUAACGCGUGAGGAACCUGCCUCAAAGAGGGGGACAACAGUUGGAAACGACUGCUAAUACCGCAUAAGCCCACGGCUCGGCAUCGAGCAGGGGGAAAAGGAGCAAUCCGCUUUGAGAUGGCCUCGCGUCCGAUUAGCUAGUUGGUGAGGUAACAGCCCACCAAGGCGACGAUCGGUAGCCGGACUGAGAGGUUGAACGGCCACAUUGGGACUGAGACACGGCCCAGACUCCUACGGGAGGCAGCAGUGGGAAUAUUGCACAAUGGGGGAAACCCUGAUGCAGCGACGCCGCGUGGAGGAAGAAGGUCUUCGGAUUGUAAACUCCUGUUGUUGAGGAAGAUAAUGACGGUACUCAACAAGGAAGUGACGGCUAACUACGUG